UGACCUCAGAUCAGACGAGGCUACCCGCCUAACUUAAUCAUAUCGUUAAGCGG
rnacentral:rRNA from 2 species